UACGUAGGGUGCAAGCGUUGUCCGGAAUUAUUGGGCGUAAAGAGCUCGUAGGCGGUUUGUCGCGUCUGCUGUGAAACCCGAGGCUCAACCUCGGGCCUGCAGUGGGUACGGGCGAGACUAGAGUGCGGUAGGGGAGAUUGGAAUCCUGGUGUAGCGGUGGAAUGCGCAGAUAUCAGGAGGAACACCAAUGGCGAAGGCAGAUCUCUGGGCCGUAAGCUGAACGCUGAGGAGCGAAAGCAUGGGAGCGAACAGG
rnacentral:rRNA from 1 species